rnacentral:rRNA from 1 species
GAAUGGGGGGCAAUGGGGUAAAGCCGGGGGGAGAAACGGAAAGUGAAGGAUGAAGGUUUUGGGAGUGUAAACUCAUUAACUGGGGGAAGAGGAAGGGCGGUAACCCAGGGGGAAGACACGGGUAACUAGGUGCCAGCAGCCGCGGUAAUACCUAGGUGUCAAGCGUUAUCCGGAAUUGUUGGGCGUAAAGGGCGCGCAGGCGGCGAUACAAGUCUGGCGUGAAAGCUCCUGGCUUAACUGGGAGAGGACGUAGGAAACUGUAUGGCUAGAGUGAAUGAGAGGGGGGCGGAAAUCCCGGUGUAGUGGUGGAAUGCGUAGAUAUCGGGAAGAACACCAGAGGCGAAGGCGGCCUCCGGGCAUUUUACUGACGCGAGGCACGAAAGCGUGGGUAGCGAACGGGAUUAGAUACCCCGGUAGUCCAUGCUGUA